GCUCGGCUGGGCUGGGCUCGGCACGGCACGGCUGGGCUCGGCUCGGCUCGGCUCGGCGCGGGGGGUGCAGCCCGCCCGGGGACACCCGGCUCGGCACGGCCCGGUGACCCGCAGCCCGGCCGGCUCCUCAGCCCGGCCCCGGGAGCUCCGGCCCGGGCAGCGCCCGGGGUUCGGCCGGGCCGCGGGGCACAAGUCCCGGCGGACGCCCCGCGGCUCCCCCUGCCCCGCGCUCCGGGGGCGCAGCGGUGCCCAGGCCCCGCGCUGCCGCCUCUGCUGAAUCCUUUUGUUUCCGACGAUUCUCCCUAUCGCACCCUGGGAGCAGAAGAAGGACCCUGCUCUGCCAGCAGCAGCAUCGCCCGACGCCGCGGCCUCUGCCUGUGCCUCGGAUCUCGGCUGUUGUUAAAUCAGCGGCUCUUCAGGGCAGCUCCUUGGCAGCGAGGCCGCCCGCCGAGCUCGGCCGUGCCCCCCAGCACAGCCCUGCGCUGGGCACCGGGUCACGGGGGGGCUGGGGAUGCUGCGCCCCGGCUGCGGGCGGGCAAGGCGGCGUGUCCUGGCAUCCCCGGGCCGGUACCCGAGGGCAGCGGGUCGGUGACCUCCCGCCGGGUGGGGAUCACCGCGCUGGGCACCAGCGCCUCGGCAUCCCCCUCCCCAGCCCACCCCGCGUCUCUCGCCGUUUAAUGGUUACGAAGGAAAUUUUUACAAAAUAAACCAAGUGUAACGCAUUCGGCGUCGGAGCCUGCGGUAGGCCGGUGCCAGAGCCGGGGAUGGGAACGGCCACAUUCAUGUUUAUGGCUUGUUAGUGCGGAUGUCCAAUUAUGAUGUUUUCUACUCCAGCCUUAACCACUUCGCUGCCAGGGAGAGCGAGCACGGGAGGAGGGGCGGCGCGGGAAGACCCGAGGCGGGAGGUGAAAACCGGUGUCGCCCGGUAUUGGCUUUUCCACCUUCUCCAGGCUGAUCGGUGGAGCCAGAGGCUGAAGGGCGAGAGCGGAGCCCCCGGCCGGGAGGGCAGCGGGCUGCGAGCCCCCCGGUCGGCCGCGGGGCCUGCUCUGCGCUCACUUCCAGCUCAAUGGCUGCUGCUCCUCCCUGAAGCUAAAAUAAAAUCCUGACCAUUUAAGGUGAACGGGAGACUUGCCGUGGACCUCAGUGGAGCGGGCUUUUAACCCCUUCCCAUUGCUGGGCUUUGUUUACUCCUUGCUCUCCCUUCGGCUUCGAGCUAGACCAGCUCAAAGCCAUUCAGGAGAGCACAUCCCCCGGGAGCGAGGCGCCUGCCCUCCGCCUGGAGAGCUCGCAGCAGACACGAACUGGCCAGGCGUGUUCACUACUUCUGGUCCCUGCAAACCCCUUCGCACGGACGCAGCUCUGCCCAUGCAGAAGACCCGGGGCUGGCUGGCAGGCUGCGCUUGCGGGGCCAGGGUCCCGCCAGGUGCCCCCGCAGCCCGAGCUGCAGGGCCCGAGAAGAGCCGUGCCCCGGCUGUGAGGGCCCCGCGCCGCCCAGCCUGCCCGCGUACCAGGCCGUGACGCUUCCAAGGGCAUCGCCAACGGUGCCCUGACCUCAUCUGUCGUCAUUUCCUAAGGCGAGGCUCCGCAAGAACACCAGAGCUGCUGUCAAACCCAGGAAUAAACUACAUUUAAGGCACCGUA